GCAUAUCAAUAAGCGGAGGAAAAGAAACCAACAGGGAUUGCCCCAGUAACGGCGAGUGAAGCGGCAACAGCUCAAAUUUGAAAUCUGGCCCCCCCCGGGGGGCCCGAGUUGUAAUUUGCAGAGGAUGCUUUGGGCGAGGCGCCUUCCGAGUUCCCUGGAACGGGACGCCACAGAGGGUGAGAGCCCCGUCUGGUCGGACGCCGAGCCUCUGUAAAGCUCCUUCGACGAGUCGAGUAGUUUGGGAAUGCUGCUCAAAAUGGGAGGUAUAUGUCUUCUAAAGCUAAGUACCGGCCAGAGACCGAUAGCGCACAAGUAGAGUGAUCGAAAGAUGAAAAGCACCUUGAAAAGGGGGUUAAACAGUACGUGAAAUUGUUGAAAGGGAAGCGCUCGUGACCAGACUUGGGGCGGGCGGAUCAGCCGGCGUUCUCGCCGGCGCACUCCGCCCGUCCCAGGCCAGCAUCAGUUCGCGCCGGGGGACAAAGGCGGCGGGAACGUGGCUCCCCAGGGAGUGUUAUAGCCCGCCGCGCCAUGCCCCGGGGGCGGACUGAGGGCCGCGCAUCACUGCAAGGAUGCUGGCGUAAUGGUCACCAGCGACCCGUCUUGAAACACGGACC
rnacentral:rRNA from 1 species